GACGAACGCUGGCGGCGUGCUUAACACAUGCAAGUCGAACGGAAAGGCCCUGCUUGCAGGGUACUCGAGUGGCGAACGGGUGAGUAACACGUGGGUGAUCUGCCCUGCACUUCGGGAUAAGCCUGGGAAACUGGGUCUAAUACCGGAUAGGAGCCAUUUUUAGUGUGAUGGUUGGAAAGUUUUUUCGGUGUAGGAUGAGCUCGCGGCCUAUCAGCUUGUUGGUGGGGUAAUGGCCUACCAAGGCGGCGACGGGUAGCCGGCCUGGGAGGGUGGACGGCCACAGUGGGGCUUAGAAACGGCCCAGAAUCCCACGGGAGGGAGCAGGGGGGAAUAUUGACAAAAGGGCGCAAGCCCGAUGCAGCGACGCCGCGGGGGGGAUGACGGCCUUCGGGUUGUAAACUCCUUUCGCUAGGGACGAAGCUUUUUGUGACGGUACCUAGAGAAGAAGCACCGGCUAACUACGUG
rnacentral:rRNA from 1 species